UACGGAGGAUGCAAGCGUUAUCCGGAAUGAUUGGGCGUAAAGCGUCCGCAGGUGGCUGUUCAAGUCUGCUGUCAAAGCGCAGAGCUUAACUCUGUACAGGCGGUGGAAACUGAAGAGCUAGAGUAUGGUAGGGGUAGAGGGAAUUCCCGGUGUAGCGGUGAAAUGCGUAGAUAUCGGGAAGAACACCAGUGGCGAAGGCGGCACUCUGGGCCGGAACUGACGCUGAGGAGCGAAAGCGUGGGGAGCGAACAGG
rnacentral:rRNA from 1 species